GGAUGUGAGAGCCAUCUGGCUGUGACAUCAGUCCCCCCAUUAAUCGCCAGGGUUGAUCUGGUGGCUCUGGCUGGCUAGAUGGGCGCCCCCUUCCUCUCUCUGCUCCAUCUGCGUCCCUCCCAAAGCUGUCCGCUCGAUAGAAGAGGAUGGCGUUCCCCAUAGAGGAGGAUCAUUCUUGGUCAAAGGUAUACAAAUAGUUGUACUCCCUCCAAAACAAUUCUCU
rnacentral:sRNA from 1 species